UACAGAGGUCUCAAGCGUUGUUCGGAUUCAUUGGGCGUAAAGGGUGCGUAGGCGGCGCGGUAAGUCGGGUGUGAAAUCUCGGGGCUUAACUCCGAAACUGCACUUGAUACUGCUCUGCUUGAGGACUGGAGAGGAGACUGGAAUUCACGGUGUAGCAGUGAAAUGCGUAGAUAUCGUGAGGAAGACCAGUGGCGAAGGCGGGUCUCUGGACAGUUCCUGACGCUGAGGCGCGAAGGCCAGGGGGAGCAAACGGG
rnacentral:rRNA from 1 species